rnacentral:rRNA from 1 species
UGAGCAACCUGCCCUUGACUCUGGAAUAACAGUUGGAAACAGCUGCUAAUACCGGAUAUGACUUUGUGUGACAUCACACGAAGUGGAAAGCCCUGGCGGUCAAGGAUGGGCUCGCGGCCUAUCAGCUUGUUGGUGAGGUAACGGCUCACCAAGGCUUCGACGGGUAGCCGGCCUGAGAGGGCGACCGGCCACACUGGGACUGAGAUACGGCCCAGACUCCUAGGGAGG